rnacentral:misc_RNA from 1 species
UUACGAACCAUAUUAAUUAUUA